UAACCAGCUACACCCCAGGUGCUCUUUCCA
rnacentral:piRNA from 1 species